rnacentral:rRNA from 1 species
UACGUAGGGCGCAAGCGUUGUCCGGAAUUAUUGGGCGUAAAGAGCUCGUAGGCGGCCUGUUACGUCUGCUGUGAAAUCCCGGGGCUUAACCCCGGGCGUGCAGUGGAUACGGGCAGGCUGGAGGCAGGCAGGGGAGAACGGAAUUCCUGGUGUAGCGGUGAAAUGCGCAGAUAUCAGGAGGAACACCGGUGGCGAAGGCGGGCCUCUGGGCCGAUACUGACGCUGAGGAGCGAAAGCGUGGGGAGCGAACAGG